UCCUUGUAGAAGUAUUUUCUUUUGCCUUUGAGAUUGUAUCUGGUGAAACUGUGGACAAUUGGAGGUGGCUACAAAGGAUAUCAGAUGUCUUGCUAGGCUUUUUUGGGUUUUUUUGAGUUUUUUUGUAUGAAAUGGUAGUAACAAUGUUUUCUAUGAAAUUGUAUUGACAAUGUACUUCUAUGGCAUGAUAUUAAUAAUGUACUUUUAUGACAUGGUAUUAACAAUGUACUUCUAUGACAUGUUAUUAACAAUAUACUUUUAUGACAUGGAAUUAGUAAUGUAUUUUAUGACAUGAUAUUAGCAAUGUACUUUUAUGACGUGGUAUUAACAAUGUAUUUCUAUGACAUGGUUUGCGGAGGUUUGAUGGAGAAUGAAGGGUCGUGGGGAUAGGCCCUUGGUUUUCAUGAUUUUUUAUUUUUUAUUUAUUUUUAAGUUUGGGUUUUUUUCAAAAAUAUAUGGGAUGGGUUUGUUGUGCUUGUUUUGAGUUUUUUUUGGGAAUUUUGUGUUGGGCUUGUUUUAAGUUAAUCAAUGGCAGAGAUGUAAUUUAUAAGAACUUCAAUACUAAUUUCAUAUGUAGUAAAUGGUUUUUGGGUAUGUUUCUAAAGUACAUUCCAUGUAGGGUUUUUUUUUUUUUUUAUUUAAAAUUUUUAUAUAAUUUCAGCCCCUAUUUUAAGUAUAUUACUACAGCUCCCUUAAAAAAAAUGACUAUAGGGUGUAGUCGAGUCCACGUAGGCUGAGGCUAGCGUAGGCUUGCGAUUGAGUCCAUCUAUUAAUGCCUACUGCAACAAGCUUUUAUGCCCAAAGACCCAAUUAAUGUUCAAAGUCCUUGCCCGCUCUUGCACCUCACAUUUUGUUUGAGUUUACUGUUCACUUUCAGUUUGUCCACGUUCAUAGCUAUUAGGUAACAAAAACAAUAAAAUAAAAUUCAUAGCUCUUAGGAGAAGCUAAACCCACUCUCUCUCAAAUACUGCAUGCCCAAGUAAAGUCCAUGUUUGGUACGCCUUACUGGACUAGAUUGGGUUAAAUAGCACUCGAAACCCUUGUUUGGUAAGAAAGGGGACUAACUUAAAUGAGAUUAUAUAGUCCAAUAGUAAAAAAAAAAAAAGGCCUCACUCACUCGUCUAAUACAGUGAGCCUGAAAAGCAGUUAGCUAAAUAGCACGCUCGCUAAAUAGAACACAUGAGUCUGACGCCUCUCUUUAAAAAAUAUCAGAAUUUUAUUUGUUUUCUUUUAAUUAUUGUUUUAGAUCUUUGAAUGGGGUUUUUUUUUUUGCAGCAUUUAUUUUUUAAGAUAAAAAUCCUUAAUUAAAUUUAAAUAUUAC
rnacentral:lncRNA from 1 species